rnacentral:rRNA from 1 species
UACGUAGGGUGCGAGCGUUGUCCGGAAUUAUUGGGCGUAAAGAGCUCGUAGGCGGUGUGUCACGUCGGCCGUGAAAACCUGCAGCUUAACUGUGGGCGUGCGGUCGAUACGGGCAUCACUGGAGUUCGGCAGGGGAGACUGGAAUUCCUGGUGUAGCGGUGAAAUGACGCAGAUAUCAGGAGGAACACCGGUGGCGAAGGCGGGUCUCUGGGCCGAUACUGACGCUGAGGAGCGAAAGCGUGGGUAGCAAACAGG